rnacentral:lncRNA from 1 species
CAGGCAAAAGUUUUUUUCUGCUUUCACCACACCAGUGUAAUUUCUAUAUGCUCAAUAUGAAGCCACAGCCAUCACACAAUUACUUUAUCUUAUCUUAAGGACUGGAAACAAGGGGAAACGCAUAGCCUAGCUCUGUCCAAAGUGAAAAAAAUAGCCUACCUUUCUUAUGUCUUGUUCCAUUGAAAAAAGAGAGAGAGAAAUGUAAAAUUACAUGCUUCAAGAAAUAAGUGAGCUCCAGAAUGUAACUCCCAGUAAAGGGGCAUUAUUCCAUUUACAGAGCCUGAGCUGAGCUGGAUUGUUUUGGGGCGCACACACAGGACGGACACCUAGUGGACCGUGAGGAAAUAUUCACAUAUUUACAAAACGUUGCUUUAAAAUCGCUUACUGCCCCUUACUGCCCCUACCCAAAAACCUAAGUUUGGUUCUUAAUGCUGGAUUAAAUUUGAAUAAUUCAGAUGUUUCUUCAGACACAAGGGUGCAGAUGAAUGCUUAGAUAAUGCAAAUGCUGACCCGAGUACCUCCUAGCAACUUGAUGUACUUUUUGCUUUCUCAGAACUGCUGUACUUUCUGCUGACUGAAGACUCGCACCGCCUCCAUUACUGCGCGCCACCACCAUAAAGGGGAGUGCCGGCAGUGCAGAGGAAGAAAAGAGGGAGAUUGACAUAAAGAUGACUACUUCUUCUGUAAAGUUCCCCCCGGAGAGCAUCAGGGAACACUCCACCGAGGGAAUUUCAUCCUCCACGGCUCUGCGCGGAAGGAUAGCAGUGGAAGACAUUUUUGCUGCAGCCUCUUAGCCUCCCCACUGCUCUUUCAUCCAUUUUUGUCUGCAGCAAAUGUCUCCCAUUUCUGUAUGACUUUGAGUGUUUUGUAAGACUGAUUGGGCAUUUUUAUUGUGCGCCCUCCUUCCUGUCGGUCUGCCUUCAUACUGUGCUCCUCCCUAAAGUCUCUAACAAUGUGUAACGUGCGUUUCCACUGUCUUGCAGCAGCAGUUCCCAGUCUUUACCUGAUCAGGAAGAAUGUUUUUCAGUCUAAUUAUCUGCGCCAUUAGGCGCACAUGAGGUCCUGCGGUUCAUUGUUACACAUUACGCAG